rnacentral:lncRNA from 1 species
CCAGGUAAGUUUUCUUAUUUUUAUUCUUCUUUUUCGCAUCUUCAUUUAUUUUUGCUUUUUGGUUGUGGCGUUUAUUUUUGGAAUUGUUCUCACACUGAGACAGUGUGAAGCAAGUCUGGGGGAGGAUGUCACUAGUCUACUGAUGCAAUUUGCUUUUUCUUAUUUAUAUUUCAUUAUGAUGUGUUCUUGAGUCUGUCAGUUUUUUUUUUUUUUAUCAAGUCAAAAUCGUGUCUGUUUUAUUGAGUCAAAAUGUUGUAUGAGAACUAUGAGCUUUUCUUAGGGAAUUUCACCUUACUUGAUUUCAUUGCCUUGGGACCAUUUAGCAUUGUUUAUUGAUAACUUGGAACUUCAGGAAAAUUCAUGACUAGAUCACUCGUAUAAUCCCUCACUUAGAAAUUUGGAUGAUUUGAGCUUAACCUUGCUUAUUUGAACUUAAUUUUGACUUAUUAUAUCUCACUUAGGGGGUUGGCAAUCAUGUAAUGGAUCAUACAUUCAGAUUUUAGUUCGCGUUAUUUUACCACUCUUUGUAAACUCUGAAUGGCUAGACUCAUAUUUAGUCUAGUACCACACCUUUAGCCCUAUCAAUGCUUCAGACCACAUGCAUUCGUAUGUCAUUGUCAUUAUGUGCAUUAAUGUGCAAAAACUACGGAGUAUACAGACCGACAUAGCUUUCCUUUGAUUAGGAUUGUAACUGUAGUUGUUUGGGAUGAUUGACAUUGAGUUCUUGUGGUUAUAUUGUUAUAUUCAUGAGCAUGUGCUGUGAGCGAUCAUGAUUGAGUUUUGUUGAUGCAGUUUGUGAGACGAGGACCGGUUCCACUCCCCCGUCAAAAAAA